UACGUAGGGUCCGAGCGUUGUCCGGAAUUAUUGGGCGUAAAGGGCUCGUAGGCGGUUUGUCGCGUCGGGAGUGAAAACACGGGGCUUAACUUCGUGCUGGCUUUCGAUACGGGCAGACUGGAGGUAUGCAGGGGAGAACGGAAUUCCUGGUGUAGCGGUGAAAUGCGCAGAUAUCAGGAGGAACACCGGUGGCGAAGGCGGUUCUCUGGGCAUUACCUGACGCUGAGGAGCGAAAGUGUGGGGAGCGAACAGG
rnacentral:misc_RNA from 1 species